rnacentral:snoRNA from 15 species
UGAUGACAUUCUCCGGAAUCACUGUACUGCUUUGAUGAAAGUACCUUUGAACCCUUUUCCAUCUGAUGACUGUGGGGAGAAAAAAAGUUAUU